rnacentral:rRNA from 1 species
CAGAAUGAACGUUGGCGGCGUGGAUUAGGCAUGCAAGUCGAGCGAGAAUCUGUCUGUUGAAGCUUCGGUGGAUUCAGUCAGAGGACAGCGGCAAACGGCGUAGUAAUGCGUAGGUACGUACCCUCAGGUUGGGGAUAGCCACGGGAAACUGUGGGUAAUACCCAAUAAUAUCUGCGGAUCAAAGGUGUGAUUCCGCCUGAGGAGCGGCUUACGUGAUAUUAGCUUGAUGGUGGGGUAAUGGCCUACCAUGGCAACGAUGUCUCGGGGGUGUGAGAGCAUGGCCCCCACGACCGGAACUGAGAUACUGUCCGGACACCUACGGGUGGCUGCAGUCGAGAAUCUUCCGCAAUGGGCGAAAGCCUGACGGAGCGACGCCGCGUGCGGGAUGAAGGCCCUUGGGUUGUAAACCCGCUGUCAGAGGGGAUGAAAUCACGGUUGGUUAUCCUUCCGUGUUGACAGAGCCUCAAAGGAAGCACGGGCUAAGUACGUGCCAGCAGCCGCGGUAACACGUACUGUGCGAACGUUAUUCGGAAUCACUGGGCUUAAAGGGUGCGUAGGCGGUUUAUCAAGUCAGAUGUGAAAUGCCUGAGCUCAACUGAGGCACUGCGUUUGAAACUGAUAGACUUGAGUAUUUCAGGGGUAUGCGGAACUGCCAGUGGAGCGGUGAAAUGCGUUGAUAUUGGCAGGAACACCAGUGGCGAAGGCGGCAUACUGGGAAAUUACUGACGCUGAGGCACGAAAGCCAGGGUAGCGAACGGGAUUAGAUACCCCGGUAGUCCUGGCUGUAAACGAUGAGU